UACGUAGGGUGCAAGCGUUGUCCGGAAUUAUUGGGCGUAAAGAGCUCGUAGGCGGUUUGUCGCGUCUGCUGUGAAAUCUGGGGGCUCAACCCCCAGCCUGCAGUGGGUACGGGCAGACUAGAGUGCGGUAGGGGAGAUUGGAAUUCCUGGUGUAGCGGUGGAAUGCGCAGAUAUCAGGAGGAACACCGAUGGCGAAGGCAGAUCUCUGGGCCGUAACUGACGCUGGGGAGCGAAAGCAUGGGGAGCGAACAGG
rnacentral:rRNA from 1 species